rnacentral:rRNA from 1 species
AUUGAACGCUGGCGGCAUGCCUUACACAUGCAAGUCGAACGGCAGCACGGGUGCUUGCACCUGGUGGCGAGUGGCGAACGGGUGAGUAAUACAUCGGAACAUGUCCUGUAGUGGGGGAUAGCCCGGCGAAAGCCGGAUUAAUACCGCAUACGAUCUACGGAUGACAGCGGGGGACCUUCGGGCCUCGCGCUAUAGGGUUGGCCGAUGGCUGAUUAGCUAGUUGGGGGGGUAAAGGCCUACCAAGGCGACGAUCAGUAGCUGGUCUGAGAGGGGGACCAGCCACACUGGGACUGAGACACGGCCCAGACUCCUACGGGAGGCAGCAGUGGGGAAUUUUGGACAAUGGGCGAAAGCCUGAUCCAGCAAUGCCGCGUGUGUGAAGAAGGCCUUCGGUUUGUAAAGCACUUUUGUCCGGAAAGAAAUCCUUGGCCCUAAUACGGUCGGGGGAUGACGGUACCGGAAGAAUAAGCACCGGCUAACUACGUG